GACGAACGCUGGCGGCGUGCUUAACACAUGCAAGUCGAACGGAAAGGCGCUGCUUUUGCGGGGUGCUCGAGUGGCGAGCGGGUGAGUAAAACGCGUGUAAACUGCCCUUGACAUUGGGAUAACUCCUGGGAACUGGGGCUCAUAUCGGGUAGGAGCUCUUGCUGCAUGGUGGGGGAUGGAAAGUGUCGGCGGUUGGGGAUCGAAUCGAGGCUUACCAGCUUGUUGGUGGGGUAGUGGCUUACCAAGUCUUCGACGGGUAGCCGGCCUGGGAGGGUGAACGGCCACAAUGGGCCUGCGGGACGGCGCAGUCUCCUACGGGAGGCAGCAGUGGGGAAUAUUACGCAAUGGGCGGACGCCUGAUGCAGCAACGCCGCGAGCGUGAUGACGUCCUUCGAGUUGUAAACCGCUUUCGCCUGUGACGAAGCGGGAGUGACGGUAAUGAGUAAAGAAGCACCGGCUAACUACGUG
rnacentral:rRNA from 1 species